ACGUAGGGGGCAAGCGUUGUCCGGAUUUACUGGGUGUAAAGGGUGCUCAGGCGGAUUUGUAAGUCAGAGGUGAAAUCUCACAGCUUAACUGUGAAACUGCCUUUGAUACUGCAAGUCUAGAGUAUGGAAGAGAGAGAUGGAAUGUCUGGUGUGGCGUGGUAAUGCGUAUAAAUGAGGAAAAAAAACAAGGGCGUAGGAAGAAACUAGGACCAUAACUGGCACUCGUGCGCGGAUGUGAGGGUAGCAAAAGG
rnacentral:rRNA from 1 species